AGCUCCAAUAGCGUAUAUUAAAGUUGUUGCAGUUAAAAAGCUCGUAGUUGGAUUUCUGGUGUCUUUUUGCGUUUCCUUCUUUGCCAGCGAAAUGCUGGUGUUGGUCGCAAUGGAUGCCUUCUUUCUCCACUAAUUCGUCGCUGAAUCAUUAGUUUGGCUCGGUGAUGAAUGGGGAUCAUUUACUGUGAAAAAAUUAGAGUGUUCAAAGCAAGUAUUAUUUCUUGAAUACAUUAGCAUGGAAUAAUAAGAUAGGACUUGGGUAAUAUUUUGUUGGUUUGCAUAUCCAGGUAAUGAUUAAUAGGAACAUAUUGGGGAUAUCUGUAUUUUUUAGUCAGAGGUGAAAUUCUUGGAUUUAAGAAAGACAAACUACAGCGAAAGCAUUUAUCAAGGAUGUUUUCAU
rnacentral:rRNA from 1 species